GUGGGGAAUAUUGGACAAUGGGCGAAAGCCUGAUCCAGCCAUGCCGCGUGUGUGAAGAAGGUCUUCGGAUUGUAAAGCACUUUAAGUUGGGAGGAAGGGCAGUAAGUUAAUACCUUGCUGUUUUGACGUUACCGACAGAAUAAGCACCGGCUAACUUCGUGCCAGCAGCCGCGGUAAUACGACGGGUGCAAGCGUUAAUCGGAAUUACUGGGCGUAAAGCGCGCGUAGGUGGUUUUGUAAGUUGGAGGUGAAAUCCCCGGGCUCAACCUGGGAACUGCCUCAAAAACUGCAUGACUAGAGUACGGUAGAGGGUAGUGGAAUUUCCUGUGUAGCGGUGAAAUGCGUAGAUAUAGGAAGGAACACCAGUGGCGAAGGCGACUACCUGGACUGAUACUGACACUGAGGUGCGAAAGCGUGGGGAGCAAACAGGAUUAGAAACCCUUGUAGUCC
rnacentral:rRNA from 1 species